rnacentral:rRNA from 1 species
UACGUAGGGCGCAAGCGUUAUCCGGAAUUAUUGGGCGUAAAGGGCUCGUAGGCGGUUUGUCGCGUCGGGAGUGAAAUCCACUGGCUUAACUGGUGGCUUGCUUUCGAUACGGGCAGACUGGAGGUAUGCAGGGGAGAACGGAAUUCCUGGUGUAGCGGUGAAAUGCGCAGAUAUCAGGAGGAACACCGAUGGCGAAGGCAGGUCUCUGGGCAUUAACUGACGCUGAGGAGCGAAAGCAUGGGGAGCGAACAGG